rnacentral:rRNA from 1 species
AGAGUUUGAUCCUGGCUCAGAAUCAACGCUGGCGGCGUGCCUAACACAUGCAAGUCGCACGAGAAAGGGUAGCAAUACCUGAGUACAGUGGCGCACGGGUGAGUAACACGUGAAUAAUCUACCUCCGAGUGGGGAAUAACUUAGGGAAACCUGAGCUAAUACCGCAUAACACUUACGAGUCAAAGCAGCAAUGCGCUUGGAGAGGAGUUCGCGGCAGAUUAGUUAGUUGGCGGGGUAAUGGCCCACCAAGACGAUGAUCUGUAUCCGGCCUGAGAGGGCGCACGGACACACUGGAACUGAAACACGGUCCAGACUCCUACGGGAGGCAGCAGUGGGGAAUUUUGCGCAAUGGGGGAAACCCUGACGCAGCAACGCCGCGUGGAGGAUGAAAUCCCUUGGGAUGUAAACUCCUUUCGAUCGGGACGAUUAUGACGGUACCGGAAGAAGAAGCCCCGGCUAACUUCGUGCCAGCAGCCGCGGUAAUACGAGGGGGGCGAGCGUUGUUCGGAAUUAUUGGGCGUAAAGGGUGCGUAGGCGGUUUGAUAAGUCUGAUGUGAAAUCUAUGGGCUCAACCCAUAGCCUGCAUUAGAAACUGUCGGGCUUGAGUAUGGGAGAGGUGAGUGGAAUUUCCGGUGUAGCGGUGAAAUGCGUAGAUAUCGGAAGGAACACCUGUGGCGAAAGCGGCUCACUGGACCAUUACUGACGCUGAUGCACGAAAGCUAGGGGAGCAAACAGGAUUAGAUACCCUAGUAGUCC